AUGGGUUCAGGAAAUCUGGUGAUGAAGAAGGUGGUGAAGCCCAGCUCUUUCGACCUCGACAUACAACUUGAUAAAAGUUGGACGGAGGAUGUUACUUGCCCGAUCUGUCUUGAUUUCCCGCACAACGCGGUCUUGCUGAGGUGCACAUCUUAUGAGAAGGGUUGCCGGCCGUUCGUAUGCGACACCGACAAGUCCCGUUCGAACUGCCUCGAGCGGUUUAAGAGUGCCCAUGGGCAGCCGGUGAAUGUGAAGGUCUCGGCCGUUAACAUCGCUCCCCGUGACAGCAUCCAUUUCAUCUCGUCAAACACAAACAACCACCCGGCUUGCCCGUUGUGUAGAGGCGAUGUCAUCGGGUGGGCUGUCAUCGGCGAGGCACGGCAGCACCUUAACCAGAAGAAAAGAUGCUGCGAAGAGAGCUGCUGCUCGUAUGUUGGCAACUUCCAUGAGCUUCAGAAGCACACCCAGCAGAAGCAUCCGAAUUCCCGCCCUUCGGAGAUCGACCCUGCUCGCCGAGUCGACUGGGAGAAUUUCCAGCAGUCGUCCGAUAUCAUCGAUGUCUUGAGCACGAUACACGCGCAGGUGCCUAACAGCAUAGUUCUGGGAGACUAUGUCAUCGAGUAUGGGGACGAUGAUGCUGGAGACGACUAUGAAGUGCUCCACAGGGUCAGGGGAAACUGGUGGACGUCCUGUAUUUUCUGCAAGUCGUUCGGGUCUUCGAGAGGCCGAAGAAGAGCAAGGACAAGGGAAAGGAGAAGUGGUGGAAGGAGGAGCGGCAACAGGUCUGGUCAGGAAAGCUUCACCAUCGACGUUCCAACCAGAGCUGUUGACAUAAGGGAAAUCAGAUUUGAUGGAAUAGAUGAUGAGUAUCUUGUUACAGGGGCAAUGCCUAGUGCAGCAUCCAGGAGAAUGGCCAGUCAUUACAGGGAUCCCAGGUAUGUCCGCCGACGCGCACACGCCUAG
rnacentral:rRNA from 1 species